rnacentral:rRNA from 1 species
UACGGGGGGAGCAAGCGUUGUUCGGAUUUACUGGGCGUAAAGGGCGCGUAGGCGGCCUCCGCAAGUCAGUUGUGAAAUCUCCGAGCUUAACUCGGAAAGGUCAACUGAUACUGCGGGGCUAGAGUGCGGAAGGGGCAACUGGAAUUCUUGGUGUAGCGGUGAAAUGCGUAGAUAUCGAGAGGAACACCUGCGGCGAAGGCGGGUUGCUGGGCUGACACUGACGCUGAUGCGCGAAAGCUAGGGGAGCGAACGGG